UGAUUGUGUCUUGCUGCUAUCGUACCUCGCAGGGAUUUUCUGCCAGGUUUCGAGACAAACUUUCGUUGUCGAAUCUAUUAUAAGCAUCUCGCAUUCAAGUCAGCGCCAAAUAUCGAGCUUCUGUAGAAGAUCACCAAUCUUGGAGAUUUUGCUUCUGUUUCAAUUUGCCGGUGUUUUUUUCGUUGUUUCUGCAACAGUGUUCUGACCCAUUUUGUGUACAAAGGAGGAUCAGCUCCGUCGUUUGUUAAUUUAUUUGAUCGUGCAUUUAGACCAAUAUCGGAUGAUGUUUUAUGUGUACCACCGGAAAUAAACAUGCAUUUUUGUCAACAUAUCAAGGCAAUUGUAUCACCUGAAUUGCGAGGUCAGUAAAAGGAUCCAAUUAUUAUUUUAUUCUGGUUGCCAACAAUGACCUCUGCCCAUACAAUUUCACAGGAACAAGAUAACAAAGUUUUCAGUUUGAAUCUGAUUCACAGUCACAAUGUACAUUACCUGAACAAAAAUAGCUCGAUGUCUAUGACACUAAUGUGGGAUGUGCCCAACCUUUGCUUUUUUGGAGGCUUGAGUUCUGCUGGGGACUCUUUUAAUGAGACGUCUGAGUGUCUUUUGAAUAAUGGCAGCCCAUUCUCUCUCAAGAGCCAAAACCAAAGAAGGUAGUUGGAUGUUGUGGUCUGCAGCGAAUCAACAAUCCAACUCAUCCCAAAGGUGUUCCAGUUCCAACCAGUGCAGCGUCUCACUCAUUGUAGAGGGAUGCUGACUCAGUUUUUCAGGAUACUGAAUGGGAAGCUGCGGUAUAGAAAAUGGCCCAACGACCACCAGUGUGUGUGUGUGUGUGUGUGUGUGUGUGUGUGUGUGUGUGUGAGUAGUGAGUGAAGUAUUAUGAAACAAUGUGUGUAUAGUAUGUGCAGUGACUGAUAGUGAGAUAUUAGUGAACAGUGUGGAAUUACAUUAUUUAAUAAGUUAUUUGCAAAAAAGUAUUGUAUACCUGGAGUAAAUCUAAUGAUUGUCUCUAACUAGAAGUCUGUAAAUGUAUGUGUAUACAAAUUAGCUUAUUUUAAAGUGAUCCAAACUUGUAAAUCCUUUGAC